rfam:Trichobilharzia regenti genome assembly, scaffold: TRE_scaffold0049396
AUCCAGAUGACGAGUCUUAAAUAGGACUAAAAGCGCAUCCUGGAU